CUGACUUCUGAUAGUUUAACUUAUUUUUGCUUAAACCUUGCGUCCCUGUGGAUACUUUUGUGCAUAUGUAUGUUUUUGACUCGCCUGCAUUUUGUUCCGACUAUAUUUUGACAAGAAACUUAUCUUCAGUGGAUAUUUUAAUUGUACUGACUUUUUCUCUGCAAUUAAUAACACCAAAGUAUUAUAAAGUUUUUAAUUUUUAAAAUUUAAAAAGUUAAAAUUCUUUAUAUCGUCAUAAGUUUUAGCAUGAAUAAUCAAAGACCUCCACGAUUGAAACAGCUGUCUGGAGUUGCUGGGAGAAAAAGAGCGAUGAUUCGGAAAAAAAAACAAAAGAAAAAACAAACGAACGCUUUUAGAUUGCGUUCGUUGGACAAAAAUCGAAGAUAAAUGCAAGCAGUUCAAUGAUAUUGAGAUCGGUAUCAAUGACUCUAAUGAGUUGCCAGACCAUAAUUCCGACAAACUUUCGUUUUUUGCAUUUCAAUGAUAAUCAGCUGUGGGAGGUCAAAGAAAGAUUCCUUAAGCUAGAAGAACUUAAAAAGAAGAAGGGAUCUGAUAUAACAAAGUUGAUAUUGAAUGUGUUGGAA